rnacentral:rRNA from 1 species
UACGUAGGGACCGAGCGUUGUCCGGAAUCAUUGGGCGUAAAGAGCGUGUAGGCGGCCACUUAAGUCCUGCGUGAAAUCUUGCGGCUCAACCGCAAGCGGUCGUGGGAAACUGGGUGGCUAGAGUGCGGGAGAGGAGAGUGGAAUUCCUGGUGUAGCGGUGGAAUGCGCAGAUAUCAGGAGGAACACCGGUGGCGAAGGCGGAUCUCUGGGCCAUUACUGACGCUGAGACGCGAAAGCGUGGGGAGCGAACAGG